UUCUAAGUACCUCACAGGGCUCCAGCCU
rnacentral:piRNA from 1 species